rnacentral:rRNA from 1 species
GACGAACGCUGGCGGCAGGCCUAACACAUGCAAGUCGAGCGAGAGGCGGACGGGUGAGUAAUGUAUGAAGACUGCCCGAUCGAGGGGGAUAACUACUGGAAACGGUGGCUACUGCCGCAUAAUGUCGGUUAACCCAUAUGGGAUUAGCUAGUAGGUGGGGUAAAGGCUCACCUAGGCGACGAUCUCUAGCUGGUCUGAGAGGAUGAUCAGCCACACUGGGACUGAGACACGGCCCAGACUCCUACGGAGGCAGCAGUGGGGAAUAUUGCACAAUGGGCGAAAGCCUGAUGCAGCCACGCCGCGUGUAUGAAGAAGGCCUUAGGGUUGUAAAGUACUUUUAGCGGGGAGGCGUUACCCGAAGAAGAAGCACCGGCUAACUCCGUGCCAGCAGCCGCGGUAAUUC